rnacentral:rRNA from 1 species
UAACGGCUCACCAAGGCGACGAUCGAUAGCUGUUCUGAGAGGAAGAUCAGCCACACUGGUACUGAGACACGGCCAAUACUCCUACGGGAGGCAGCAGUUGGGAAUCUUGGACAAUGGCCGCAAGCCUGAUCCAGCCAUGCCGCGUGGGUGAUGAAGGCCUUAGGGUUGUAAAGCCCUUUCGGCGGAGAAGAUAAUGACGGUACCCGCAGAAGAAGCCCCGGCUAACUUCGUGCCAGCAGCCGCGGUAAUACGAAGGGUGCUAGCGUUGCUCGGCAUCACUGGUCGUAAAGCGCACGUCGGCGGAUCGUUAAGUCAGGGGUGAAAUCCUGGAGCUCAACUCCAGAACUGCUUUUGAUACUGAGGAUCUUGAGUUCGGGAGAGGUGAGUGGAACUGCGAGUGUAGAGGUGAAAUU